AUCCAGCUGACGAGUCCCGAAUAAGACAAACGCGCGUCCGGGAU
rfam:Schistosoma mattheei strain Denwood, Zambia genome assembly, scaffold: SMTD_scaffold0014365